UACAGAGGUCCCGAGCGUUGUUCGGAUUUAUUUGGGCGUAAAGGGUGCGUAGGUGGCAAAGUAAGUUGGAUGUGAAAUCCUGGGGCUCAACCUCAGAAUUGCAUUCAAUACUGCUUAGCUAGAGAGCUGUAGAGGAGACUGGAAUUUACGGUGUAGCAGUGAAAUGCGUAGAUAUCGUAAGGAACGCCAGUGGCGAAAGCGGCGCACUGGACCACAACUGACGCUGAGGCGCGAAAGCUAGGGGGAGCAAACAGG
rnacentral:rRNA from 1 species